CUCGUAGGCGGUUCGUCGCGUCCGGUGUGAAAGUCCAUCGCUUAACGGUGGAUCCGCGCCGGGUACGGGCGGGCUUGAGUGCGGUAGGGGAGACUGGAAUUCCCGGUGUAACGGUGGAAUGUGUAGAUAUCGGGAAGAACACCAAUGGCGAAGGCAGGUCUCUGGGCCGUCACUGACGCUAAGGAGCGAAAGCGUGGGGAGCGAACA
rnacentral:rRNA from 1 species